AAGAAUGAUGUAAUUGACUUUUAUAUACAAUUAUUAACAGUAUCAGAAAUAUUGAGUAAGUAGUUAAUAAACCAACCGGAGCAUUUCAGUGAGAGUGGCCGCGGUACUCAAGUCGUCGGCUUCCCUUGCUUUGAGGAUGCGAAACAUAAG